rnacentral:rRNA from 1 species
UACGUAGGGUGCAAGCGUUGUCCGGAAUUAUUGGGCGUAAAGAGCUCGUAGGCGGUUUGUCGCGUCUGGUGUGAAAAUCCAGGGCUUAACCCUGGACCUGCAUCGGGUACGGGCAGACUAGAGUGCGGUAGGGGAGAUCGGAAUUCCUGGUGUAGCGGUGAAAUGCGCAGAUAUCGGGAAGAACACCCGUGGCGAAGGCGGCUCUCUGGGACGGUACUGACGCUGAGACGCGAAAGCGUGGGGAGCAAACAGG